rnacentral:rRNA from 1 species
AUUGAACGCUGGCGGCAGGCCUAACACAUGCAAGUCGAGCGGAUGAAGGGAGCUUGCUCCUGGAUUCAGCGGCGGACGGGUGAGUAAUGCCUAGGAAUCUGCCUGGUAGUGGGGGAUAACGUCCGGAAACGGGCGCUAAUACCGCAUACGUCCUGAGGGAGAAAGUGGGGGAUCUUCGGACCUCACGCUAUCAGAUGAGCCUAGGUCGGAUUAGCUAGUUGGUGGGGUAAAGGCCUACCAAGGCGACGAUCCGUAACUGGUCUGAGAGGAUGAUCAGUCACACUGGAACUGAGACACGGUCCAGACUCCUACGGGAGGCAGCAGUGGGGAAUAUUGGACAAAGGGCGAAAGCCUGAUCCAGCCAUGCCGCGUGUGUGAAGAAGGUCUUCGGAUUGUAAAGCACUUUAAGUUGGGAGGAAGGGCAGUAAGUUAAUACCUUGCUGUUUUGACGUUACCAACUGAAUAAGCACCGGCUAACUUCGUG